UGCAGAGGUCUCGAGCGUUGUUCGGAUUCAUUGGGCGUAAAGGGCGCGUAGGCGGCGGGGUAAGUCUGGUGUGAAAUCUCGGAGCUCAACUCCGAAAUUGCACUGGAUACUGCUCUGCUAGAGGGCUGGAGAGGAGAUCGGAAUUCACGGUGUAGCGGUGAAAUGCGUAGAUAUCGUGAGGAAGACCAGUGGCGAAGUCGGAUCUCUGGACAGCUCCUGACGCUGAGGCGCGAAGGCUAGGGGAGCAAACGGG
rnacentral:rRNA from 1 species